CGAGAGAAUAUAUAAUAUUUGUUAGUAGAAAAUAUGUAAUGUCACGGCAAGUUGCGCGUGAAUUUUCAAAUUCCGUGCGAAUCAUAGUUCUUGCGUUGUCUUUUUAUCGUGAUAUAAUAAAGUGCGCGUCGUGUAUGAUUAACAUCAGAAAUGUCGUACAAAGCAUCGCGCGAUCGUUGUAUUAUUCUGAUUAGUACGUGAGCAAUCGUAAUUAAUUGUAAUUUCGCGAGUGAGUAUCAUAAAGGAACAGCAAAAAACAAAUAAAAAGAGGAGCAGACCAGAGGAAGCAUCCGGCAACAGCGAAUCAUGAUGUAUACAGCCAGAAAGGCGAGCAGAAACACCGUGAGAUGGGCCGCGACAAGUCUUAAGCGACAAGGCCCGACAAUGGGUCCGGAACGAUUAGAGAGCUCCGAGGGUGGCCGCAUAUAAUCGACAGGUGAGAAAAGGCGAUCCUAGCGACAAGAGAAACAGAUCGGGACAAGAGAUCUCGGCAUUGUAUCUCGAAGAUUACGUUUCGCUUCCUUCCCUGAGUGGUUCACUCGAAAUACGUCUCGAAAUAGGGUGGAAAAUUUUGUACGAGGUAGAAAGAUCCUCGUAAAGAUAUAGAAGACGAGGGGAAAAUAUUCAAGAAUUACGGAACGCUCAUGAACUCCUUCAAAAGCACAGGCGAAGACUAACUUUUCCGUGAAAAAUAAAAACGAAGCAACGAAAAAUAAAAAUAGCACUCUUUACACGAUUUAUCAAAUCUCUCGCUGAUUGGAGACAUUGUUAUAUUUUUCGUAAAAACAUUUCGGAUAUGUCAAAUGCAUGGGAA